CUGGGCUUAAAUGUAGAGUGCAUGAGUGGGAAACCAUUCUUUCCUUCGGGACUCCUUACAAGGUGCUGCAUGGUUGUCGUCAGCUCGUGCCGUGAGGUGUCGGGUUAAGUCCCAUAACGAGCGCAACCCCUACCUUUAGUUGCCAUCAGGUAAUGCUGGGGACUCUAAAGGAACUGCCUACGCAAGUAGUGAGGAAGGUGGGGAUGACGUCAAAUCAGCACGGCCCUUACGUCCAGGGCUACACACGUGCUACAAUGGUCGGUACAGAGGGCAGCUACCACGCGAGUGGAUGCAAAUCUCCAAAGCCGAUCUCAGUUCGGAUCGAAGUCUGAAACUCGACUUCGUGAAGUUGGAUUCGCUAGUAAUGGCGCAUCAGCCAUGGCGCGGUGAAUACGUUCCC
rnacentral:rRNA from 1 species